rnacentral:lncRNA from 1 species
UUUAUUUGUCACAACAACAUUAUUUUUAUUUAUUUAAGUAACACUAUAUAUGUCGAAGUGUCAUUGUAAAUCCGUGCCCUAGAGGUGAUUAGUUGACCAUUCCUAUACUCACAUGUUGAGUUCAGCUCAUAUCAAGCAAGUGCUAGCAAAAUAAGAGUUACCGACGGUUGCUACAGCAAGUGGCAAAGGGCUUAGUGGCUGAUAUUCGAAAUUUUAAAUUCAAAUCCUAGUUGCUUCACAUUUUCAGCUAAGUUUAUUUCUAAAUGAAAUAAACGACGUGGGUAGCGAGCUACCUAUCUCUCUCUCUCUCUCUCAAAAAAAAAAAAAAAGAAGCAAAAU